GCCAUGCAUGUCUAAGUAUAAACAAAUCUAUACUGUGAAACUGCGAAUGGCUCAUUAUAUCAGUUAUAGUUUAUUUGAUGGUCCUUACUACUUGGAUAACCGUAGUAAUUCUAGAGCUAAUACAUGCAUCAAGCCCCGACUUUUGAAGGGGUGUAUUUAUUAGAUAUUAAACCAAUGCGGGGCAACCCGUAACUUGGUGAUUCAUAAUAACUUUCGGAUCGAUCUUCGGAUCGAUGCAUCAUUCAAGUUUCUGCCCUAUCAGCUUUGGAUGGUAGGGUAUUGGCCUACCAUGGCUUUAACGGGUAACGGAGAAUUAGGGUUCGAUUCCGGAGAGGGAGCCUGAGAAACGGCUACCACAUCCAAGGAAGGCAGCAGGCGCGUAAAUUACCCAAUCCUGAUACAGGGAGGUAGUGACAAUAAAUAACAAUGCCGGGCUUUUCAAAGUCUGGCAAUUGGAAUGAGAACAAUUUAAAUCCCUUAUCGAGGAUCAAUUGGAGGGCAAGUCUGGUGCCAGCAGCCGCGGUAAUUCCAGCUCCAAUAGCGUAUACUAAAGUUGUUGCAGUUAAAAAGCUCGUAGUUGAAUUUCUGGUCUCGGACAGCGGUCUGCCUCAACCGAGGUAUGUACUAUCUGUCUAAGUCCAUCCUCGGGGAAAACUU
rnacentral:rRNA from 1 species